rnacentral:lncRNA from 1 species
AUGUCAUUGCUGAUAAUGCAAUCUCCAGCAGAAUCCCAGCUGACUUCUUCACCCAAACCGGCAUCAUACCAUUGGCCGUGAUGCUGUCCCCAGGAGGGAAUAACCUUCCAGAAGUUUCCAGAAGUGGUUCCUGUCGGUACAGAGGGCAAUUCUCAAGAGGAUGCAGCUGUGAGCUAUCAGCAGCCAAACCUUACACUUCCUGGUAAAGAGGAUCUGGACAGGGUGUCAACAAUGUUUAUAUAGUCCACUUCUAGCAUUGCUCAGAUCCAUAUGCUUUGUACAUAAGUUCAUUCUAUCCAGGCAUUCUGGCUAACUUCUGGGGACACUUACAAGGGGAGUCCCUAAACUGUAAAUGCUAUGAUCUCCCUUCUCUAGCACCCAGUCUAGAGUCAUCUCCCCCUCGACUAGCACUUGUUAGUCAAGAUGGCUUACCCAGUGGAGUAAGCCAGACCCUCAUUCCUGAGGGUUUUGAGCCCUAAGAGAUCAUGCCCUUAAUCAGGCUGUAAUUCUUUACUUACUCAUUUACGGUUAAAGCUGAGUAUAGGAGGACCAAGAGAUAUCCCAAGGAUCAUGUGCGCAUCAAACACUUCCCACUGUGUCCAUGUUAGCAGCAGUCCUACCUUCUCGUAACAGAGUCAAUUGUCCCAAACAGUAUGGUAACUUCUUUGCUUGAUGGUCUGCAGGCAUUAGGAGCUCAAAGCGACCAGAUGACGGUCAUAUCUUUAAGUUUAUUGAGAUUCUUACGUUGUGCCUGAUAGAAGCAUCCUCCCCGCACCCCUUACCCCCUGAUCCUCAAGUAGAUCACUGGGAGUGAUGUUGAAUAGGGUCACUUCUGUUUCCGCCCCUUGGUUCCAGAGCCCUUGGAUUCUACCUAGGGGCUGAGGAUAAAGCACCCUAUUAUGGUCAUGUAGGUUUACACUGUAUUGUAAAGGACAGCACCCCAUUCUUGCUGGCCACCAAUGCACCUUCAAAAGGCCAUCCCGAUGCUCUACCGGGUCCCACUCUCACAGACCCACUCAAAUCCUCUUCACCAGAUCUUCUCUCACAUUUUCCUAUCUUGCACCUUCUGGGCCCCUGACCAACCAGCCCACUGACCUUGAGUUCACAUACACCCUUGCCUCAGGCCACUUCUCACUCUCCAAAGCGGAUAAUCACUUACACUGCCUAAAGACCUACUGAUUGAGAAUUUGCUCUCAUCACUGACUUUUAGGACCACUCCAGAUGGGGCCAUUGAGAAGCGAUAGUCCGUAUUUGGCUUGCCCUAAAACAUAUCAAACCAACUCCUCCACGAACCAGACCGGGAUUUUUUUCUCGUCUGGCCAAUCAAAUGGUUGCAGGAUUUCUCAUGUUGCCACAGGCAUGGGCUAGGACAAAGCUAUCACUGUAACAGAUGUACAUAAUCUGGAGAACUGAGGACCCUUGUUCAGUUAACUUAUUCGUGCCCACCAAGUCUGUUUGGGCUUCUUCCCAAAGGUACUGUUCCCAUUGUAAGACGAAUUGCUAUUGUAUCCACCCAAUCUUAUGACUUGGCAGGUCUCACAAUAACCAGCUGGUUAUAUGGGCAACUGCUCACAGUCACUUGAUAUUUUGUGGUCAAGCACUGAGUCUCUAUCAGGGUCUAAUCGUAUGCCAGGAGAUGCUUUUCAAAUGAUGAAACUUUCUUUACUGCAGAUGGCAUAACCUUACUCCAGAACCCGAGAGAUCUAUGCUGGAACUCUCCUGUUGAGGAUAGCCCGAGAAUCCACACACCGUCUCUUCCUACCACAGAUACCUCUAGUACCACAGAAUUCUCCAGGCCAUACGGCCCCUGCCGCGGGGCUGCUUGUAUAUCAUAGCCUGGAUCUGCUGCGGAGGCCUCUCUUGCAUUCCUAAGCACAGAGUACGGUGCCCCCAAAAUAGAAGAGGCCUACUUAAGGCACCGCGCUUCUUUCUUGGGGUAAAAUACACAAGAUGCAAUAACUUACCCUUUACUUUAGAGAGAACGUCCCAGAAUGCGCCAGCUCACUGGACUCCUAAAAACUUAACCAACGUGGCAGGACCGUGCAUCUUUGCAGGAUUUAUUUUCCACUCUCCGGAGUGCA